GCGGCUGUAGCUCAGAGGGAGAGCACCACCUUGACACGGUGGGGGUCACAGGUUCGAUUCCUGUCAGCCGCA
rfam:Alicyclobacillus sp. TSBA-503 genome assembly, contig: Ga0105849_114